GCCGAUUCCGUCACUAUCCCAUCAUUCUCAGCGGGGAGCAGUAGAGUGGGCCCUAGAACGGCGGCGACUGGCUGCGGCCCGUCAUGUCGGAGAAGAAACAGCCCGUUGAUCUUGGGCUUCUAGAGGAGGAUGACGAGUUUGAGGAGUUCCCAGCCGAAGAUUGGGCUGGUUUAGAUGAAGAUGAAGAUGCACAUGUGUGGGAGGACAACUGGGAUGAUGACAAUGUGGAAGAUGAUUUCUCCAAUCAGUUAAGAGCAGAGCUAGAAAAACACGGCUACAAGAUGGAAACCUCAUAGCUUCCAGUGACAGAUUGGACUGUAAAUUGAACAUAGAUGUGAAAGAUGAUAAACUGAAGAUAUUGGGACAAGAUGGAAGAAAAGAUAUUAUGCUGUCCAUUAUUACCUUAAAUUUUGUGGGUUUUUUGUAUAAAUAAAUAAAAAAAGAAUCAAAACA